UAUCGGAUUGAUACUAAGCCAUGCGAGUCAUUGCAGUAAUGCAAGGCAGACGGCUCAGUAACGCGUAGUCAACCUACCCUAUGGACGGGAAUAACCUCGGGAAACUGAGUAUAAUGCCCGAUAGAACACUAUUCCUGGAAUGGUUUGUGUUCCAAAUGAUUUAUCGCCGUAGGAUGGGACUGCGGCCUAUCAGUUUGUUGGUGAGGUAAUGGCCCACCAAGACUAUUACAGGUACGGGCUCUGAGAGGAGUAGCCCGGAGAUGGGUACUGAGACACGGACCCAGGCCCUAUGGGGCGCAGCAGGCGAGAAAACUCUGCAAUGUGCGAAAGCACGACAAGGUUAAUCCGAGUGGUUUGUGCUAAACGAACCUUUUGACAGUCCUAGAAACACUGUUGAAUAAGGGGUGGGCAAGUUCUGGUGUCAGCCGCCGCGGUAAAACCAGCACCUCAAGUGGUCAGGAUGAUUAUUGGGCCUAAAGCAUCCGUAGCCGGCUCUGUAAGUUUUCGGUUAAAUCUGUACGCUCAACGUACAGGCUGCCGGGAAUACUGCAGAGCUAGGGAGUGGGAGAGGUAGACGGUACUCGGUAGGAAGGGGUAAAAUCCUUUGAUCUAUUGAUGACCACCUGUGGCGAAGGCGGUCUACCAGAACACGUCCGACGGUGAGGGAUGAAAGCUGGGGGAGCAAACCGGAUUAGAUACCCGGGUAGUCCCAGCUGUAAACUAUGCAAACUCAGUGAUGCAUUGGCUUGUGGCCAAUGCAGUGCUGCAGGGAAGCCGUUAAGUUUGCCGCCUGGGAAGUACGUACGCAAGUAUGAAACUUAAAGGAAUUGGCGGGGGAGCACCACAAGGGGUGAAGCCUGCGGUUCAAUUGGAGUC
rnacentral:rRNA from 1 species